UGCCAGGUGUGCUAAACUUGUAAAGGUC
rnacentral:piRNA from 1 species